rnacentral:rRNA from 1 species
GUGGGGAAUUUUGGACAAUGGGCGCAAGCCUGAUCCAGCAAUGCCGCGUGUGUGAAGAAGGCCUUCGGGUUGUAAAGCACUUUUGGCAGGAAAGAAAUAGCGCGUGCUAAUACCAUGCGCGAAUGACGGUACCUGCAGAAUAAGCACCGGCUAACUACGUGCCAGCAGCCGCGGUAAGACGUAGGGUGCAAGCGUUAAUCGGAAUUACUGGGCGUAAAGCGUGCGCAGGCGGUUUUGUAAGACAGGUGUGAAAUCCCCGGGCUCAACCUGGGAACUGAACUUGGGACUGGAAGGCUAGAGUGUGUCAGAGGGAGGUGGAAUUCCGCGUGUAGCAGUGAAAUGCGUAGAGAUGCGGAGGAACACCGAUGGCGAAGGCAGCCUCCUGGGAUAACACUGACGCUCAGGCACGAAAGCGUGGGGAGCAAACAGGAUUAGAUACCCUGGUAGUCC